ACAGUUUAAGCUCAUUAUUUGGCAAGAAAACAAUGAAAGCCAUUAAAACAAUUGUUUCUAUUUUCAAACAUGAGCAAAGUGCCUGCUCAUUUUCACUGCACGCACAUAUGUUGAGGUUGUCUGUGGAUGAUUUUGGACAUUUCGAAUAACCUUGGACUUGAUCCAUAGGUUUCAGAGUUGACUUAGCCUAUAAUUUAUAUGGGUAGACUUGUCAAAAUUCACUGGUUAAACUUAACGAAGAAUUACUGUACGCGCCCUUAGGU